GUCAGUACAUUUACAUAGACUCACUCCCAUUUAUCUGGGAGGCAGGAAGGGCAAGGCAGGAGUGGCUGGUUGACACACUAUUAUACAAUCAUCUGGAAAUCUAAUUUGUGGAACCAGUAGCCAUCUGUUCCAUGGGUAAUAUGCCAAGGUACCCGCCAACAACAGAACAAGCUUUCUGCUGUUGGGUAACUAAUUGCAUCUAUGGGACCAACACAGCAUGAGACUCAACUCGUGGAACGUGAUCCUUCACCGAAUUGCUAUUUCUGCUCGGGUGGUUCUGCGUCAGUGAGCAUAGUACAAGGACCGAUACAGCUGUAGGAGGAUGGAGAGGCUGGGUAGCCCUGCGCUCCCAGAAUGUGGUAGGUCUGCAGGUAUGAGGGGCAAGCUGUGCAGGAGAUUGUGGUUCUGCUGUGGUCGUUUCCCUCCCCCUCCCCGAGAAAAAGAGACGGCUGACUCAGUAGGAAGCUGGGAAUGAAGAUACAAGAAGGGCUUAUAAGUUGAUAUCAGUGGUUUUUUAAUACCUUCUGAAUUUUUUUUUUCUUUUUAAGUCCCUUUAUUUAAAGCCUGGAGCGAGUAGAAUGUGCAAAAGGUAUAAAAUCAACGUCUUCGCCCUGUCACCACAAGUGACAUGGCGGCUCUUCCUCCGUAAUGAACUUCUCUUGGGAAAAGACCUCUUGUUCUUCCACAACAACCAGCACCCUGGAGGAACAAGCUGAUGUGUACGUCUUAGCUUCCCAGUUCUUCUUCAAAGUCUCAGAGAAGUCCUUUCGCAUGGACACCUUUGCAGCCGCGCUCCCAAACGCCUCGGCACCAGGGCUUGACCACGAUGCACUGACUGUAUUUGAAGGGAGGUGAUCACACAGGAGAAACGCCUUCAGAUUGGAAAGUAAACAGUCUGCGGUAAGUUCCACUGAUAACUAAAUGUAUUCUCAAAGCCAUUUUCUUUCCUUGGCUUAUAUUUCUGUUUUCUGCUUUCAAAGUUGAGGCCCCACAAGGAAAAGCCUGCUGGAAUAUGCAAGACGUGGUUAUGGGAACUGGGGCAAUUUCUUUGUGGAACAAUUUAGCGAUACCUGUUAAAGCUUGAAGACUCACAUAGGCUACAGCCCACAAGUCCAUUGCUAGAGACAGAAAAUCCUCCACAAGCAGGAGAAAUUCGCCGAAAAAGUGCACUUCGACAUUGUCCAUCAUCGUUAAAAAAGAAAACAUAAAUGUACAUAAAAAAAAAAAAAAAGAAUAGAUAAAAUCGGAGUGGCUACAGCUCAGUAUUGCGACUCCGCUAGUGAUACUACCGGCCAUUCUCUACUCCACGACGGUGGGGCGCACUGGGCCAGACUGCAGGUCGGG
rnacentral:lncRNA from 1 species